GCAAGCAUAGUUUAACUCAAACAUUAGAUUGUGAUUCUAGAGAUAGGAGUUUAAACCUCCUUGCUCGCC
rnacentral:tRNA from 1 species